rnacentral:lncRNA from 1 species
GUGGAGUGGAGUCGUGGCCAUCAUCGUGGCCUGCCACGUGGAGCCUGUUGUGGAGAGUGGGGUGAUGUCUGUUGUCGUGACUCGCCAGAGCAUGAUGGAGCCGCAUGGGAUCUGUUACAGGAAGUGGAGCAGAGUCGUGGCCAUUACUGUGGCCUGCCAGGGAGUCCAGGCCUAUCGACCGAAGCUCGGUUGGGGUGUCUGGUGG